ACAAUUAAGAUAAAUUGAUUGAUUUUUUAUAUUUUAUUUAUUAAUUUAUUUAGGGUUAAAUAUGUGUUUGGUCCCUCACUUAUACGCAUGAAUAAUCUAAAAUGAUACCUGAACAAACAAAAAAUACAAAAGUUUUAGUCCUUGAAUUCUAUUUGAUCUAAAAUGAUUCCAUAUGAAUUUUUCACAUGUAUUUUAAUUCCUCCAAAAUUUCUUCCAUCAAAUUAAAUCCUUCUUCCCUCAUAAUUAUUUCAAAACCUAGAAAUUCAUAUCAUCAUCACAAAACUCAGAAAUUCAUCUUAGAAAUCCCUUCAUCUUCUUCAUCUUCAUAACCCAUAAAUUUUCUUCAUCUUCUUCCUCCUCGUCCUUCCUCCCCCACCCAAAACCACCAUCAC
rnacentral:lncRNA from 1 species